UAGGGAAUCUUCCGCAAUGGACGAAAGUCUGACGGAGCAACGCCGCGUGAGUGAAGAAGGAUUUCGGUUCGUAAAACUCUGUUGUUAGGGAAGAAAAAAUGUAUAGUAACUAUAUACAAAAGAGACGGUACCUAACCAGAAAGCCACGGCUAACUACGUGCCGGCAGCCGCGGUAAUACGUAGGUGGCAAGCGUUGUCCGGAAUUAUUGGGCGUAAAGCGCGCGCAGGUGGUUUAGAAAGUCUGAUGUGAAAGCCCACGGCUCAACCGUGGAGGGUCAUUGGAAACUAAUAAACUUGAGUGCAGGAGAGAAAAGUGGAAUUCCUAGUGUAGCGGUGAAAUGCGUAGAGAUUAGGAGGAACACCGGUGGCGAAAGCGGCUUUUUGGCCUGCAACUGACACUGAGGCGCGAAAGCGUGGGGAGCAAACAGG
rnacentral:rRNA from 1 species